rnacentral:rRNA from 1 species
ACACGACUACAUUAGAUACCCCUGUAGUCCAGGGUGUAAACGCUGCGGGCUUGGUGUUGGGGGUCCUUAGUGGGCGCCCAGUGCCGGAGAGAAGUUGUUAAGCCUGCUGCUUGGGGAGUAUGUCCGCAAGGAUGAAACUUAAAGGAAUUGGCGGGGGAGCACCACAACGGGUGGAGCCUGCGGUUUAAUUGGAUUCAACGCCGGAAAUCUUACCGGGACCGACAGCAACAUGAAGGCCAGGCUGAAGACUUUGCCGGAUUAGCUG